rnacentral:rRNA from 1 species
AUUGAACGCUGGCGGCAUGCCUUACACACGCAAGUCGAACGGUAACGCGGGGCAACCUGGCGACGAGUGGCGAACGGGUGAGUAAUGCAUCGGAACGUGCCCAGUAGUGGGGGAUAGCCCGGCGAAAGCCGGAUUAAUACCGCAUACGACCUACGGGUGAAAGCGGGGGAUCGCAAGACCUCGCGCUAUUGGAGCGGCCGAUGUCAGAUUAGGUUGUUGGUGGGGUAAAGGCCUACCAAGCCGACGAUCUGUAGCUGGUCUGAGAGGACGACCAGCCGCACUGGGACUGAGAACGGGCCCAGACUCAUACGGGAGGCAGCAGUGGGGAAUUUUGGACAAUGGGGGCAACCCUGAUCCAGCCAUGCCGCGUGCGGGAAGAAGGCCUUCGGGUUGUAAACCGCUUUUGUCAGGGAAGAAACGCUCUGGGCUAAUACCCCGGGGUAAUGACGGUACCUGAAGAAUAAGCACCGGCUAACUACGUGCCAGCAGCCGCAGUAAAAC